rnacentral:rRNA from 1 species
GACGAGGGGUCCUAGCGUUGUUCGGAAUUACUGGGCGUAAAGCGCAUGUAGGCGGCUCGAUAAGUCAGAUGUGAAAUUCCUGGGCUCAACCCAGGGCGUGCAUUUGAUACUGUCGAGCUUGAGUAUGGGAGAGGGUAGUAGAAUUCCUGGUGUAGUGGUGAAAUACGUAGAUAUCAGGAGGAAUACCGGUGGCCGAAGGCGGCUGCCUGGCCCAAUACUGAC